rnacentral:rRNA from 1 species
UGCCAGCCGCCGCGGUAAUACGGAGGGUGCAAGCGUUAAUCGGAUUUAUUGGGCGUAAAGAGGGCGCAGGUGGGAAAGUCAGUCAGACGUGAAAGCCCGGGGCUCAACCCCGGAACAGCAUCUGAAACUGCUUUUCUAGAGGAUAGGCGGAGAAAACGGAAUUCCACGUGUAGCGGUGAAAUGCGUAGAUAUGUGGAAGAACACCCGUGGCGAAGGCGGUUUUCCAGCUUACUCCUGACACUCAGGCCCGAAAGCAAGGGGAGCGAACAGGAUUAGAUA